rnacentral:rRNA from 1 species
AGAGUUUGAUCCUGGCUCAGGACGAACGCUGGCGGCGUGCUUAACACAUGCAAGUCGAGCGAUGAAGUUUCUUCGGAAAUGGAUUAGCGGCGAACGGGUGAGGAACACGUGAAGAAUCUGCCCUCCACUUUGGGAUAACACCGGGAAACCGGUGCUAAUACCGAAUAUUGAAACAUAAGUGGCAUCACUGAGUUUUGAAAGAAUUUCGGUGGAGGAUGACUUCGCGGCCUAUCAGCUAGUUGGUGAGGUAAUGGCUCACCAAGGCAACGACGGGUAGCCGGCCUGAGAGGGCGACCGGCCACACUGGGACUGAGACACGGCCCAGACUCCUACGGGAGGCAGCAGUGGGGAAUAUUGGGCAAUGGAGGAAACUCUGACCCAGCGACGCCGCGUGCGGGAUGAAGGCCUUCGGGUUGUAAACCGCUUUCAGUAGGGAAGAAGCGAAAGUGACGGUACCUACAAAAGAAGCACCGGCUAACUAUGUGCCAGCAGCCGCGGUAAUACAUAGGGUGCAAGCGUUGUCCGGAAUUAUUGGGCGUAAAGAGCUCGUAGGUCGUUUGUUACGUCGGAUGUGAAAACCUGAGGCUCAACCUCAGGCCUGCAUUCGAUACGGGCAAACUAGAGUUUGGUAGGGGAGGCUGGAAUUCCUGGUGUAGCGGUGGAAUGCGCAGAUAUCAGGAGGAACACCAAUGGCGANNNCAGGUCUCUGGGCCAAUACUGACACUGAGGAGCGAAAGUCUGGGGAGCGAACAGGANNAG